GUUUUGUCUUUGUUGAAGCGGCUUUGUAAAAUUUAAGUUCAGACAUUUUCUAAGUGUUUUAAAUUUAUUUAAAAUUUGGAUUAUUGAUAGUUGAAAUUACAGCACAGAGAGUUUGGAAGUAUGUGUGUUUUGGAGAAGAUGAUGUAAUAUGAUAUAAUUGUACAUUCAGUUCCACAAACUGAGUGUCGAUUGAUUUGAUCGAUUCGAUUGAAUGAGAUUUAUUGACGAUUCAUUGACGAUUCAUUUAGUUUGUCGAUCAUUGAUUGGUUUACUGAUGUUUGGAUAUAUAUGUAAGAUUGAUGUACAUGUAUGUGAACUGGAAGAUAAAUAAAUACAUUAGAACUGUG